GGGGAAUCUUGCGCAAUGCGCGAAAGCGUGACGCAGCAACGCCGCGUGAGGGAAGAAGGCCUUCGGGUUGUAAACCUCUUUCAGGAGGGACGAAGGUUCAGGCGCGAACAGCGUCCUGGACUGACGGUACCUCCAGAAGAAGCCCCGGCUAACUACGUGCCAGCAGCCGCGGUAAUACGUAGGGUCCAAGCGUUGUCCGGAUUUACUGGGCGUAAAGAGCGCGUAGGCGGUCCGUUAAGUGUAGAGUGAAAGCUCCGGGCUCAACUCGGAAAUUGCUCUGCAUACUGGCGGACUCGAGGACGGAAGAGGUUUAUGGAAUUCCUGGUGUAGCGGUGAAAUGCGUAGAUAUCAGGAGGAACACCCAUGGCGAAGGCAGCAAACUGGUCCGUAUCUGACGCUGAGGCGCGAAAGCGUGGGUAGCAAAC
rnacentral:rRNA from 1 species